ACAGGAAAUGUCUCAAGGAUCUUCAAGGAUUCUCAUCUCCAGACCAGAGCGGUCCUUCAAACUGAAGAGUUCCUUCAGACUGAACAUUCCCUGUUCAACCUCCAUCAAUCCACCGAGGAUUAAUCUCAUACAUAGAGACACCACACCAAGCUUUUUCUAAGGCGAUUGUGAAAAUAACAGGGAUUGACAUUGAGAUGGAGUUAUUCAGUGAUGAUGAGAGGAUAGUAUGGACAGAAAUAGUAUCACGAGAUGAAUACUAUCAGAACCAAGGUAAGACCCAGAUGCAGACAGUCCAAGUAACAGUGUUUAUUGUAAGAG